CCUAUUAUUUUGUUGCCGAAAAGCGGCUUGAACUGACGUAACGCGCCCUUUAAAUACUCCUGUCGCACAUCGUGAGGUUCUCUUUUCUCCGUCUGCUGAUCUAUAGACGUUUCGGUCCAAAUUCGAGCAAUGAGUAAAAGUUCAGAGCUGGACCAUAAUGCCAGUGAACCUCCCAGUCACUUACUGGUCCACAGACUGGAGCAUCUGGUGCUGGGGAUGACCUUUAACCCUUAACCUGUCGACCUCGAAGUCCUUAGAUGUAAUGUAAUGGAUAAGCCAGCUGGGUUCAGCCAUCGGCCAUCUUUAAUGAGGUCUCGGCGUCUCUGAGGUCUAUCCCGACGGGCCCUUCAUGUAGGGCCAAGUCGUUGGAAAUGCCUCAAAGAGGAAAUCUGUGGUUUCGCUUUACCCAGGUGUUCUGCUGUGAGCAUUAUGGGAUACAACUUCAGGACAACAACAUGAUGACAAGCUUCAGAAAGACGGAUUAUCGACCAGAUUUAACAGAGACGUGUGUUUCA